GUUAUUUGUGGUGUCGCCUGCACCACGAGCGCUUAAGCUUUCAGCGUCGGCACUCCUCUCCACAGGGCAACAAGAGAUAAAUACCCUAGGAUCGCCGGCGAGAGUCCAACGGCAGCACGAACCAGCGAUUGCGAGCACCACAUCGAGGCAGACAUCAGCAGGUGACUCGAGCGGCUCGCGCGGGAGAGAGAAAAGAAGGGAGAAGAGGGGGGCGCUGCCUGUGCCGCGAGGCGGCGAACGACGGGGGAGGCGCACGCUACAUCGUCGACACAGGGUCAGUUCUCCGUGCGUUAGCCUCCUAAAUUUCGUCACCGCUUAGGGCUCGUUUAGGGCUCGUUUUGUGUGCGGGGAAAGUCGGGGAUCCCCGCCUAAUCCCUGGGUAGCUGCCACCCGUGGAUAAUUAGGCCCGGGUAAAUUAGCUGUGGAUUUUUUUGGUUGAUCAAGGGGAGAGGGAAAUCCCACCACAUCCCUGCCAAAUCCCCGGGCUAAAAUAAUCUACAUUCAGUCGUGGAAGAACUCCCCCCCGUGCUCUCUGUCUCGCGCGAUCGAACUCCUCUGUUCUAAGGUCUGCCCUGGUGUUGAAGACUAUCUCGUUCUCUCAGUUUGCUCAGUUUGUUUAUUCUCUUUUGAUCAAUUUUUACACGGAAGCCCUGUCCCCGGAGCGCCAAAUGAUGUCGGAGAACCAAGCAUGCAUAGCCUUAGAGGCCAUUUUUCACUGAGAAUCUCAUGAGUAGGGAUGGAACGGGGGUGUGGGGGUGGGGGUGGAUAUCGUACAUGCAUCCCGCAAGAUUUGGGGGCAUCAGCGCGUACGAUCUAGCCACGUUUUUGCAUAAUGUUUUAGGCAGGGAGAGUUCUUGAGGAACGGCAACUACUUUUUUCUAGGAUGUAGGCAAUUCGUUUCGCAUAGAUGCAGAUUUUUCUUUUUCAGAAUGUAAGGCAACUUAGUUGUUCAUGCAUAUGCUGAAAACAUCAGCAUGUGUUUUAUCUGUUCGUGCAUGUAGGCGCAGAGGUUCUUUCAGGAUGUAAGACAUUUUCUGUUCAUAUAGAUGCAGAAAACCUGAGAAUGUAGGCAUGUUUCUCCGUUUGCUCACGUAGAUGCCGAAAUCUUUUCAGGGUGUAAGGCAGUUUUUGUUCAUGUAGAUCCAGGAAAUCACAGGGAUGUAUAGGCAUGUUUGAUCUGUCGUUCACGUAGUUGCACAGAAACUUCUCGAUGUAAGGAACUUUUUUGUUCAUGUAGAUGCAGAAAACCUCAACAUGUAGGCAUCUUUAUCUUGUUUGUUCACGUAGAUGCUGAGAAACUUACAAUACUUUUUGUUCAUGUAGAUGCGGAGAAAUUUUUAGGAUUACAGGUUUUUAGGCGUCCUUUUUUUUUCAAAAGAUAUGUUCAGUAAUGUCAUGGUUCAAGGCAAAUGAUAUGUUACCAGUUAGCACUUUUUUUGUCUCUACAUUUGCUCUGCUUAAUAUGAGUUUUUUUUCCUGAACCAUGGAAUUGCACCUUAUUGUUGUUUUACAUCUUUCCUGGUGUCUUUGAUUUUUACAUACUUGUCAAUUCGAUGUGUGUGAUCUUUUUGUCAAGGCCAUAAGCAGUAGUUGUUCUAACUAGUCUUUUUGUUGCCAACUAUAGCGACAAGCUAUGUCUAAUGUACUACUCCAUCUGUUCAUUUUUGUAAGUCAUUUCAGACAACUUAAAAUUGGUUGUUUUGUACGUUGUCUGAAAUGUCUUCAAGAUCUUAUAAAAAUGAACAGAGGAAGUAGUAAACAAGCUGCAAUGUCUACAGUAACAAAAUACAGACCCAUUUUUUCACAUGCUAUUUCCCCCUGCGUUUUGGUUUUCGGUUUGCAUUUUUUUUCGCCCCUGGACGAGAUGGACGAAAUUCGGCCAUUUCAAAAAAUUUGGUCAAAUCUCGGACGAAAUUACAGAACCAAAAUUUGAAUUUUAAACAAAAUUUGACCGAAAUCGGGACGAAAUUCAGCCGAAAAAAUUGAAAACAAGCAGAGCAAAAGUGUAGCAGUCGAACAACACUAACGAGUACGUAUAUACGUAAAUGUUUACCAAACUUUGCAUCAGUCCAACAUCGCCAUCAGCUCCAAAAUAAAAAAUUGAACAGGGAGAUGAGCUGCAGAGUUCAGGAGUUCCAGAUUCAGCUGCAGCCCGCAUCCAGCAGAGGUCAGUAGCAGGGGCCGGGCUGUCACGAAGGCGCGGACGGGGCAGGAGCGGCAGGCUCGAGCCGGGAGGCAGGCGGCGACGAGUGGAGGAGCCGAAUCUGGGCGCAGCGCCGCCGCCGCCGCACGCACAGGAGGGGCGGGUAUCGUGAUUUGUUUAGGGUUCAGGCUUCGUUCGAUAGGAAAAUUGUCAGGAGGCCCCAGAAAUUAGAUUGGGCCAAGACAAAGUUCAAACUGGGCCGAAAUUUUCGGCCGACACACACAAUUACCGGGCCCAGGCGAGAUGGACGAAAUUCGGCCGAAAAUUGAUUUUUUCGGCCGAAAAUCAAAACACAGAUUUCGCCUGCCCAUGCCAGAAGAGCAAGAGACUGAAGUUAGCCAAGGUACAGGCGUGGCAGAAAGGGUCGAGUAUGUGGGUGGGUGGUGGGGGGAGGGGGGGCAUCUUCAAAUCGAAGCAAAAUAGGCAGUAUUAUGUUUUUUUUUCAAAUAUGUACACGCUGUCUUUGUUUUCAUUCCUAGUUUUCUUACGAGCCCACACAAAUUAAUGAAAGCAAUAUGACCGACUGAUUAGGACAGCAGCCCGUCGAGGGAUGGAAAAGAGUCCCUUAUCUUGCCACCUUUUUCUCAAGUCCCCUCACGCAAUUCCUCAUAGCAUGGGUGGUGGAACUACAGUCAAGCUCACACCAUCUUUUUCUUACUUGAUUGAAUUCUAGCACAUUAUACAGUCGCCUUCACCGCCCAAACUACCAAUGCAAAGCACAAUAAGUCGUGCAUGCUAAUCUCGAAACAAGCUUUCGCCACGCUUCAUAUAUAAAGCAACAACACAACAGAGUACACGACUACUCUAACGAUAUAAUAUGGUAGGGAGACCCACUUACAAAGCAGAUCGAAAGAAAAACAUGAAACUAGAACAAGCCUAACACCAAGCACCACAACAAGGACCCUAAGAGGGUGACGGCACGAAGCGUCACCACUGCCGAGUCCAAACAAACUGACUAGAGUUUUCAACCGGAGCCCUAGCACAAGGACGAGGUCCACGACGAUGUCUUUAAGAAGCAAGCAACACCCACGGGCGCCGCCGUUGCCGGUGCUAGAAACAGAAAGCCUUUGCUCGGACACUCGCCACCACCACAGGAGGGGUCUUCGUCACCACUACGACGAGGAUCGGCUCAUCCACCCCACAUCUGGGCACUGCUAGAGCAGACCAGGUCCUCCCGCCACUACACCCCUUACCGCCCACAGGGCCAAGAUGUGCAGCCACCAUGGGCC
rnacentral:rRNA from 1 species